AGUUUACAACACAAUGUUUGCAUUCACAUCGAUAGGUGCUAAAAUCGAUAAUGAGAUCAAUAAUAAGUUAGGUCCAUAUGUAUUUUGUAUUAACGGAUAGGAUCAUCAUAGGAUGGAUUUGCUGCUACCAGCUAAUGGAUAGAAGCCUAGAUUCACUUAGUCAUAUAUAUAUGAUAUAAAAAAUGAGGUUAGCAAUUGUUGAUCCAAAAGGUUUGAUUUUGAUGAUAUAAAAUAUUUGAGUAGAAAGAUUACUGAUAGUAUUUUUUUGGAGUAUUUAAGAUUGCAUAUAGAAAGCAAAGAUAAUCCCAAAAUGAUUCAAAUAUAUAUAGAAGAAUGCAACCUAAAAUGCUUAAGAUGGAAAGGAUGUAAUAAGAUUUUAUGAACUAUAUAAAAUGAGUUGACCCCAAGUCAUAAGGAGUCAACCUCUAAACGCCCAUAGGCUUAGAUGGAAGAUGUUAUUUUUGAAGGAAUUCAAGAGUCGACCCUAGAGGUAUACAAGUCGAUUGCAGUACAAUGGAGCAGACUAGCAGACUUUCACGAGUCGAUCUCUGAACCAAUCGAGUCAAACCUAGAACAAUUUUAGGCGAAAGACGAAAAGGAGUAAAAAUUAGCCUCUCUACGAGUCGACCCAAAUAGAUUACGACUCAACCCUUACCGAGCAUGAGUCGACCCCAAAAUAAGCCAAGUUGAUCCCAUAUUGGCAUUAGACAAAAGACAAAAAGUAAUAAAACAUAGCCCUUUUGUGAGUUGACCCAAGCAGAUCACAACUCGACCCCUGCCAACCAUAAGUCAACCCCAAGACAAGUUGAAUCAACCCUAGAAUGGCUACAAGCAAAAGAUAGAAUGCAAUAAAAAUGAGCACUUUUUUGAGUCAACAUGAGAAAAAAAAAAUUCAACUUCAGAAGAUCACGAGUCAACCCUUGAAGAUGUCGAGAUGACCCCUCUGCAUCUGACAACAGUAAUGGCUAGUUCUCUAGCAAACUCAGAAUAGCUCUAUUCACUCCCAACGCUAUUUUUUCCCAU
rnacentral:lncRNA from 1 species